UACGGAGGGUGCAAGCGUUAUCCGGAUUCACUGGGUUAAAGGGCGCGUAGGCGCCAUGCGUGUCUUCCGUGAAAUCCCUCGGCUUAACUGAGGACGUGCGGAAGAAACUGCAAGGCUUGAGUCCGGGAGAGGGGGGUGGAAUUCCCAGUGUAGCGGUGAAAUUCGUAGAUAUCGGGAGGAACACCUGUGGUGAAGACGGCUCUCUAGACCGCAACUGACGCUGAGACACGAAAAGC
rnacentral:rRNA from 1 species